UUUAUCUUGGUGUAAGGCACGUAAAAUUUUGAUUUUUAAGGGGGUAUAAACUAGAUAAAU
rnacentral:tRNA from 1 species